GGUCCUAGUGCCCCGCUUCUCAGCGUGGUUCGGUGCAGCUCACCGCGGGCUGGUGAUUUCUCGUUUUCCGCCGCACACAAACCGUGGGCUCCACUAGAAAAUAUAUUUUGGGCACGUUGGGAGCAAUGAAGCGAGGCUGCUGCAACUCCGACAACACUCCAGUAUUGGGACAUGAUCCAGGACGAGGCUGUCUCCUUGAUGAACGUGUGAACAUUGGCUUAAAUAUCCUAGCCAAGGAGUUGUAUAGCAUCCAUAGGAAAUCCCGUGUAUCAGCUGAUACAACGUGAGCCCGAUUUUUACUGGUUUAAACUUUACAAACGAACUGGGACACGAGAGAAAUGACAUGGACCGCAUAACCAUGUUACUGACUGGAGCGACCUAGCCUCGAACCCCUGUUCUGUGAAACACUA